rnacentral:rRNA from 1 species
AACGAACGCUGGCGGCAUGCCUAACACAUGCAAGUCGAACGAGACCCCGACUUCGGUUGGACGUCUAGUGGCGCACGGGUGCGUAACGCGUGGGAAUCUGCCCUUCGGUUCGGAACAACAGUUAGAAAUGACUGCUAAUACCGGAUGAUGACGUAAGUCCAAAGAUUUAUCGCCGAAGGAUGAGCCCGCGUAGGAUUAGCUAGUUGGUAAGGUAAAAGCUUACCAAGGCGACGAUCCUUAGCUGGUCUGAGAGGAUGAUCAGCCACACUGGGACUGAGACACGGCCCAGACUCCUACGGGUGGCAG